rnacentral:lncRNA from 1 species
CAUCUGAGAAACUUCUCAUCCUUGAGGAGUGGUCAGCUAGGAGAGGAAGAAGGGAUGGUGUGGAGCCCACCCAUGGCCUAAGGAGCCAGUGUAGUCCACAGCCUGUGGGACCAGGAGCCUCCAGGUGGGCGACUCAAGAAGAAUCGAUGCUUCAGCCCCCAGCGACAUGUACACGGUGUAAUGACAGUAUCAGCUUUGCUGAAAGUUGGCUCAGCAGAUACAGCAAGAAAGGGAGGAGACAGCACUACCCAUGAUCACUACCCUGCCCUGACCAGGCUGUGGAUCUAAUGACCACUCUACACAGGGACCAGAGGAACCCGCAAAACCCCACCACAGGGCCUGUCACCAAAUCCAGGCCAAGGCUGCCAAGGCCCCUCCUUUGACUGUGAUCUUGUCAGAUCCAAUAAGGUUGGGGGUAUGGAGCUAGUUGAGACCCCUGUGUUCCUGAGCUGAACAAAACCACCGAGUUCACCCAGCUUGAAGACCCUCUGGCUAUUUGGGAGGACAGGGGUAUGCUCCGAAGUAUCUCACUUUGGCCUGGAGAGACUGAUCCAUCCAUGCCCACCAGGAGCUGCCAUUCCCACUGGAAGUGGGGGAUUUGGGAUUGAGGAGCUUGGAAACUGGCCAGGAGGACCAAGACCAAUGGCCAAGGUUCAGAGCAGCCCCAGGCUGGCAGUUGGAGCACCUGUAAGAGAAACAAAGGCACAGGGACUCUGGCCAGCCUGGACAUGCAGGAGGCUGGCCCCAGAACGUGUUUGGAAACACUGGAAUAUUUUCAUCACAUCAAGAAGAAACUCACAUCCAUUAACAGUCAAUUACCGGAUUCCACACUACAAAGACACAGAGGACACCAGACCACCAGACCAAGGUACUGAGUCCCACUGUUCCCGGCCCAGAGGUAGGGGCUUCUGAGACGUUGUCCCACUGCUCCUGGUCCAGAGGAAGGGGCUUCCUGGUCACCAUCCCUCCCGCUGCUCCCAGCC